GGGCUCGUGGUGUAGCUUGGAUAUCACCGAGGCCUCCGGAGCCUCAGACCGGGGUUCGAAUCCCCGCGAGCCCG
rnacentral:tRNA from 1 species